CCCUUAGAUGUUCUGGGCCGCACGCGCGCUACACUGAUGCAUUCAACGAGUUUCUUCCUGGUCCGAGAGGAAUGGGUAACCUUUUGAAAGUGCAUCGUGAUAGGGAUAGACUAUUGCAAUUAUUGGUCUUCAACGAGGAAUUCCUAGUAGACGUAGUUCAUCAGACUGCAUCGAUUACGUCCCUGCCCUUUGUACACACCGCCCGUCGCACCUACCGAUUGAAUGGUCCGGUGAAAUCUUCGGAUUGAGACUUUGAUUUCUUCACGGAAAACGCUGUUUUAAGAAGUUGAUUAAACCUUACCAUUUAGAGGAAGGUGAAGUCGUAACA
rnacentral:rRNA from 1 species